GCUCGUAGUUGGAUUCCUGACCUGGGGUAGCCGGUCCGCCUUGCAAAAGGUGCGCACUGAGCGGCCUCGGUCAUCCUUGAGAAGAGCGGUCCUGGCAUUCAGUUGUCGGGGUCGGGAUUCUCGACGUUUACUGUGAAAAAAUCAGAGUGUUCAACGCAGGCUUACGCCUUGAAUACAUUAGCAUGGAAUAAUGAGAUAGGACCUUGGCGGUCUAUUUUGUUGGUUUGCACGCCGAGGUAAUGAUUAAAAGGGACGGUUGGGGUUCUUCGUAUUCAAUUGUCAGAGGUGAAAUUCUUGGAUUUAUGGAAGACUAACUGCUGCGAAAGCGUCGAACAAGGACGUUCUCAUUAAUCAAGAACGAAAGUUAGGGGAUCGAAGAUGAUUAUAUACCAUCGUAGUCUUAACCAUAAACUAUGCCGAUUCAGGAUUGGCGGUCGUUUGUUCUCGACUCCGUCAGCACUGUAUGAGAAAUCAAAAU
rnacentral:rRNA from 1 species